GGCGAAUUUCUUCGGGGCGGAGCUCGACCGCCACCACAAGAAAUAGUCGCCUUAUCGACGCCCACCGGGCCGAGUUCGGGGUCGAGCCCAUCUGCACGGUCCUGCGCAGCGCAGGGGUGUCGAUGGCCCCG
rfam:Mycobacterium chubuense NBB4, complete genome.